GAUGAACGCUGGCUACAGGCUUAACACAUGCAAGUCGAGGGGAAACGACGGGGAAGCUUGCUUCCCCGGGCGUCGACCGGCGCACGGGUGAGUAACGCGUAUCCAACCUGCCUCUGACUGAGGGAUAACCCGUCGAAAGUCGGCCUAAUACCUCAUGGCAUCGUCUGCGGGCAUCCAACGACGAUUAAAGAUUUCAUCGGUCAGAGAUGGGGAUGCGUCUGAUUAGCUUGUUGGCGGGGUAACGGCCCACCAAGGCGACGAUCAGUAGGGGUUCUGAGAGGAAGGUCCCCCACAGUGGAACUGAGACACGGUCCAAACUCCUACGGGAGGCAGCAGUGAGGAAUAUUGGUCAAUGGGCGAGAGCCUGAACCAGACAAGUAGCGUGCAGGAUGACGGCCCUAUGGGUUGUAAACUGCUUUUAUGCGGGGAUAAAGUGAGGGACGUGUCCUUCAUUGCAGGUACCGCAUGAAUAAGGACCGGCUAAUUCCGUG
rnacentral:rRNA from 1 species